CCAAAAAAAUGGCCUAUGCGGCCGCAUGGUGUAUUUCCAUACAGUCGCAUGGUUCAGUCCGGUUGGCUCUUUGAAUUUCGGUAAGCCUCCAUGCGGUUGCAUGGUGUUUUGCCUGUGCGGCUGCACAGGCUUGUUUUCAGCCUUCGAUUUCGUCGCUUGAUAACAAAUUGAUCCAAGUUGAUUCGGCCUUCGAUCCGAACAUGAAAGUUGCUCCAUUUUGAGUCCCGAACAUGGUUCCAUCAAUGGUUUCUUGAAUGAGCAAUCCCAUCGCUUGUUUCACUUGCUUUGCCCUUGAUCGCGUCAUUGGUCCGCCAUCGACUAUCAACGGGUCUCGUCUCGCACUCGCCUUCGUCGGGCUCG
rnacentral:lncRNA from 1 species